UACGUAGGGGGCAAGCGUUGUCCGGAUUUAUUGGGCGUAAAGAGCGUGUAGGCGGCCAGGUAGGUCCGUUGUGAAAACUCGAGGCUCAACUUCGAGCUGUCGGUGGAAACUUUCUGGCUAGAGUCCGGAAGAGGAGAAUGGAAUUCCUGGUGUAGCGGUGAAAUGCGCAGAUAUCAGGAGGAACACCGGUGGCGAAGGCGGUUCUCUGGGAAUGACCUGACGCUGAGGAGCGAAAGUGUGGGGAGCGAACAGG
rnacentral:rRNA from 1 species